CCCCUGUGAAUUUUUUAAAUAUGAAAGUUUUGUUACCAAUAAAAUUGAUUUUUAGAUAAUUGAAGAAUAAUAUAGCCUUCUUAGUGGGUUUAUAUGAACAUUAAGAUUGUUUUUAACAUGUUUUAUAGGCCAUUUAUAUGAUUGCCAGUCCGUAUUUUCCUAUCCGUACCGUUCAUAGGUCCAUAUAUUAUUGUAGUGUUUAUCAACAAAGAUUUUGCGCUCGAUCUUUUCAAUUCAAUUUUAUGGAAAAACGAGCAGAUAAGCAUAUGAUUUUUUUGGGACCACUUGAUAGAUAUAAACCUAUGGAUUCAGGAAAG
rnacentral:lncRNA from 1 species